UACGAAGGGGGCUAGCGUUGCUCGGAAUCACUGGGCGUAAAGGGCGCGUAGGCGGCUAGAUAAGUCGGGGGUGAAAGCCUGUGGCUCAACCACAGAAUUGCCUUCGAUACUGUCUGGCUUGAGACCGGAAGAGGUUAGUGGAACUGCGAGUGUAGAGGUGAAAUUCGUAGAUAUUCGCAAGAACACCAGUGGCGAAGGCGGCUCACUGGCCCGGUACUGACGCUGAGGUGCGAAAGCGUGGGGAGCAAACAGG
rnacentral:rRNA from 1 species